AGGGUUAUGGUAAGGAUAAGGCUUAGUGUGAAGGGUUAAGGUUAUGGUAAGGGUUAUUGUGAAGGGUUAAGGUUAUGGUAAGGAUAAGGGUUAGUGGUUUGGGUUAAGGUUAUGGUAAGAAUAAUGGUGAGUGUGAAGGGUUUAGGUUAUGGUAAGGAUAAGGGUUAGUGUGAAGGGUUAAGGUUAUGGUUAGUAUGAAGGUUUAAGGUUAUGGUAAGGAUAUGGGUUAGUGUUAAGGUUAUGGUAUGGAUAAGGGUUAGUGUGAAGGUUUAAGGUCAUGGUAAGGAUAAGGGUGAAGGGUUAAGGUUAUGGCAAGGAUAAGGGUUAGUGUGAAGGGCUAAGGUUAUGGUAAGGAUAAGGGUUAGUAUGAAGGGUUAAGGUUAUGGUAUGGAUAAGGGCUAGUGUGAAGGUUUAAGGUCAUGGUAAGGAUAAGGGUGAAGGGUUAAGGUUAUGGUAAGGAUAAGGGUUAGUGUGAAGGGCUAAGGUUAUUGUAAGGAUAAGGGUUAGUAUGAAGGGUUAAGGUUGUGGUAAGGAUAAGGGUUAGUGUGAAGGGUUAAGGUUAUGGUAAGGAUAAGGGUUAGUGUGAAGGGUUAAGGUUAUGGUAAGGAUAAGGGUUAGUGUGAAGGGUUAAGGUUAUGGUAAGGAUACGGGUUAAUAUGAAGGGUUAAGGUUAUGGUAAGGAUAAGGGUUAGUGGUUUAGGUUAAGGGUAUGGUAAGGAUAAGGGUGAGUGUGAAGGGUUAAGGUUAUGGUUAAUAUGAAGGGUUAAGGUUAUGGUAAGGAUAAGGGUUAGUGUGAAGGGUUAAGGUUAUGGUAAGGAUAAAGGUUAGUGUGAAGUGUUGAGGUUAUGGUAAGAAUUAGGGUUAGUGUGAAGGGUUAAGGUUAUGGUAAGGAUAAGGGUUAGUGUGAAGGGUUAAGGUUAUGGUAAGGAUAAAGGUUAGUGUGAAGGGUUAAGGUUAUGGUAAGGAUAAGGGUUAGUGUGAAGGGUUAAGGUUAUGGUUAGUAUGAAGGGUUAAGGGUAUGGUAAGGAUAAGGGUGAGUGUGAAGGGUUAAGGUUAUGGUUAAUAUGAAGGGUUAAGGUUAUGGUAAGGAUAAGGGUUAGUGUGAAGGGUUAAGGUUAUGGUAAGGAUAAAGGUUAGUGUGAAGUGUUGAGGUUAUGGUAAGAAUUAGGGUUAGUGUGAAGGGUUAAGGUUAUGGUAAGGAUAAGGGUUAGUGUGAAGGGUUAAGGUUAUGGUAAGGAUAAAGGUUAGUGUGAAGGGUUAAGGUUAUGGUAAGGAUAAGGGUUAGUGUGAAGGG